GAGUUUGAUCCUUGGCUCAGGAUGAACGCUAGCUACAGGCUUAACACAUGCAAGUCGAGGGGAAACGACAUCGAAAGCUUGCCUUUGAUGGGCGUCGACCGGCGCACGGGUGAGUAACGCGUAUCCAACCUGCCCACCACUUGGGGAUAACCUUGCGAAAGUAAGACUAAUACCCAAUGAUAUCUCUAGAAGACAUCUGAAAGAGAUUAAAGAUUUAUCGGUGAUGGAUGGGGAUGCGUCUGAUUAGCUUGUUGGCGGGGUAACGGCCCACCAAGGCGACGAUCAGUAGGGGUUCUGAGAGGGAAGGUCCCCCACAUUGGAACUGAGACACGGUCCAAACUCCUACGGGAGGCAGCA
rnacentral:rRNA from 1 species